rnacentral:tRNA from 1 species
GCCCGGUAGCUCAGUCAGUUGAGCAUCUGACUUCGGCUCAGGUAAUGAUCUCACAGUCUGUGAGUUCGAGCCCCACAUUGGGCU